rnacentral:rRNA from 1 species
GUCCACGCUGUAAACGAUGAAUACUAGGUGUAGGGGGUAUUGACUCCCUCUGUGCCGCAGCAAACGCAAUAAGUAUUCCGCCUGGGGAGUACGGCCGCAAGGUUGAAACUCAAAGGAAUUGACGGGGGCCCCGCACAAGCAGCGGAGCAUGUGGUUUAAUUCGACGCAACGCGAAGAACCUUACCAAGGCUUGACAUCCUGCUAAGCUCAUGGAAACAUGAGGUCCCUUCGGGGGAGCAGAGACAGGUGGUGCAUGGUUGUCGU